GAGAGAAUCAUUUUGUAAAAAACAAAAGAAGAGGAGAAGAGAAGAAGAUAAGAGAGGAAGAGAAGAGGAGAAAGAGGCAACCCUAGAAAGAGAUCUACACUCAAGGUUUUCGAGGAUAGUGGUUCUUCGAAGGAGGCUUAGCUUAGAGAUUUAGAUCUCUUGUAGAGUAUCCUGAAUAAGUAGUCAUUUGUGCUCUGGUCAUAUGUAACACAUGGGAUUUGGGUUUAUAUUUUAUGACUCGAUGUUGUGAGAUAAUUGUUUACUUAUAUUGUAUUUCGUAUUUGAAUAUGUUAUUUUGUUGAUGAUUGGCCUUGUGCCAAGAUGUUGAGACAUGGUGGAUGAUGUAUGGGAAUCAUCCGAUUUUACCAUUUAGUUGAUGAGAUGAUUAUUCCGCUGUGGUUUUGCAUGUUGAUUUAA